CAGGUCGAAUUAUGGGGUAUUCUCAGGACGUCGACCCUCCAAAAUUUCCCAUUCGCAGGAAGGUGACCUCCAGUUUGUCUUUGAUGUUUGAUGUUGUUAUA